UACGUAGGGUGCGAGCGUUAAUCGGAAUUACUGGGCGUAAAGCGUGCGCAGGCGGUUAUGCAAGACAGAUGUGAAAUCCCCGGGCUCAACCUGGGAAUUGCAUUUGUGACUGCAGGGCUAGAGUGCAGUAGGGGCAACUGGAAUUCUCGGUGUAGCGGUGAAAUGCGUAGAUAUCGAGAGGAACGCCUGCGGCGAAGGCGGGUUGCUGGGCUGACGCUGACGCUGAAGUGCGAAAGCUAGGGGAGCGAACGGG
rnacentral:rRNA from 1 species